CUGCCGAUUCGCAAGGCACACCCCUGGGAUUCAGCGCGGAUGGACUCGUCCUUCCCCUUCCCGUGCACAUUCACAGCUCUUGCCAUAUAUGGGCAUAAAACGAAAGCGAUGCGGUGAUUGGUCCGCCAACCGGCUAGCGGCUAGAUUCUCCAAAUGCCGCUUCAAAUCGUACGAUAGAGAGAGCAUAAUGUCUCUUGGAAGUAUACGCUAGGCGGAAGGGUUCGUUCGCGGGAUCGCGGGCUACCUGCCUGCGUGAUUUCGCGACAUCGUAUUUAUCAGUAUUUAUCGACGAUGAUGUAGGAUUUCCAACAACAUUCUAUACGACGUGGCGUAUUUUAAUUUUUAAAGAUAUUCGAGAUAUGGAUCUACGUUUAGAAUUUUUUGAAGAUUUGUGUGAGCGAAAAAACUGAUGUUACGUGCGAAGAAAGAUUGAGCCUUUGCACAGGUAGUUCUUCAAGAAAUCCAACCUUCUUCGAGAAAUCCAAAGUGGGCACCAUAUUUUAUCGAAACCGGUAUCAUGUGCACGUGGCGUAUGCGAAAUGCGACGAUACAAGUUCUACACGUAUCUAUUUUUUUUACACAAAAUCCGCUGCUUCAAAAAAAAAUGUAUAUAAAGAAAAGCGCGCGCAUAUAAAGAGAUAGAUAGAUAGAUAGAUAGAUAGAUAGAGAGAGAGAGAGAGAGAGAGAGAGAAGCAUAAGUAACGAAAAAAUUAUAUAAAUAAUUUGACAAGGAAAGUUUCGUUAUUAAAACAAAUUUUAGAAGAACUUUGAAACCUCUUUUAAAUAUUCAAAAACAUCAUUGAUCAUACAUGUAUAAUGCAACAUAAGCUGUUAAUGUGAUUCUUGGACGAUGCUAUCUAUCCGACACCGUCGUAACAGUACCGUCAUACACUUGAUUGACGCCAGCGAGGAAUCUCGACUGUGCGAUAAUAAUACUCGAUACUGCUAUAUUUAAUCCUAGUUUAUUUCAUUUAAAAUGGAGAAAUCUGAUAUGUAUCUCGACAACUAAAUAAUCAUCACACCGUUCUGAUCGCUCUAUCGCACGCGGCGUCGCGGUAAUAAUUUUGAAGAAAAGUAUUUACAUGAACAUGCGCGCGCGCGUAUAUAUAUGCAUGAAUUUUUCUUCAAGAAAUUACGAAAUCAUCUUUUACAUUUUUGACGAAUUCUGAUAAUUAAUUAAUGGAAAGCGAUAAAAUAUUUUUGUGCAUAUGUCUCGUGAGAGUGAAAAGCAUUGGGUGCAAUCGAUCAGACAGCACUCGGCCUUUGCGAUAUGACACAUCCACAUGGAUUAGUCAUCAUCGGGUUCCAGGCUUCGCGUCAUGCGAGUGGAACGUUACGCCGAAGCAGCCGUCUUUCUCUCGAGAAUCCACUCUUAUAAAAACGUACCACUAAUACGGAUUAUUAAGAAUUGCAAAAGCGGGUCGUUGACUAAUGCUUCCCCUCUCUUUCUUUCUUAACAAGCCUAACGAGCUGUAUCGGCAAUGUGCAUGAGAAUUAUAAACACGUAUAUAAUUUAAUCUCAACUAGCGAGAGAAUAAGAAAGAGAGAGAGAGAGAGCGCUACGGCAUAUUCAUUACCGGAAGACUUUUGGAUAUAUGACCAUAUUUGGCUCGGUUUCGCGGAUCUGGAUCGUUAUCUUGAGUCUGAUUUCACGUUGUGGAACGAAUAACGUAUCGUGCGAUUGAUAGCGCGCGCAAAGUCGACAAGCUCGAAGGAGAUUUCGAAUGACGUGAGAAUUCUUGGGAUUCAGCCUUGCAUCUACAACCUGAAGACGAACUUAGCAUCAAGAAUUUAUACAGAGUUGAUCAGGAGCGAUCACUAAAGCUAUUCGAUCAUUUUUCGACGAAUGGUUUACCUCUCUCGGAGAUACGCGAAAAAGUGGAUUGGUGCGGUUUUGAUAGCUCCGAAGGAGGCCAUCACA